GAUGAACGCUAGCGGCAGGCCUAAUACAUGCAAGCCGAACGGCAAGUUUGAUAGCAAUAUUGGACCUAGAGUGGCGCAAGGGUGCGUAACACGUAUGCAACCUGCCAGCGACAGGAGGAUAGCUCCCCGAAAGGGGAAUUAACCCUCCAUAACACCAUGAGAAGGCAUCUGAUUAUGGUUAAACCGCAAGGGGUCGCGGAUGGGCAUGCGGUUGAUUAGCUAGUUGGCGGGGUAAAGGCCCACCAAGGCGGUGAUCAAUAGGGGUUCUGAGAGGAAGGUCCCCGACACUGGCACUGAGAUACGGGCCAGACUCCGACGGGAGGCAGCAGUAGGGAAUAUUGGACAAUGGGUGCAAGACUGAUCCAGCCAUGCCGCGUGCAGGAAGAAGGCCUUCGGGGGCGUAAACUGCUUUUGCCUGUGGAUAAAAUACCCGUGCGCGGGGAAUUGAAGGUAACAGGAGAAUAAGCCACGGCUAACUACGUG
rnacentral:rRNA from 1 species